rnacentral:rRNA from 1 species
UACGUAGGGUGCGAGCGUUGUCCGGAAUUAUUGGGCGUAAAGAGCUCGUAGGCGGUUUGUCGCGUCGGCCGUGAAAACUUGGGGCUUAACCCCAAGCCUGCGGUCGAUACGGGCAGACUUGAGUUCGGCAGGGGAGACUGGAAUUCCUGGUGUAGCGGUGAAAUGCGCAGAUAUCAGGAGGAACACCGGUGGCGAAGGCGGCGACCUGGGUCGAGACUGACGCUGAGGCGCGAAAGCGUGGGGAGCAAACAGG